UACGUAGGGUGCGAGCGUUAAUUGGAAUUACUGGGCGUAAAGCGUGCGCAGGCGGUUUGCUAAGACCGAUGUGAAAUCCCCGGGCCCAACCUGGGAACUGCAUUGGUGACUGGCAGGCUAGAGUAUGGCAGAGGGGGGUAGAAUUCCACGUGUAGCAGUGAAAUGCGUAGAGAUGUGGAGGAAUACCGAUGGCGAAGGCAGCCCCCUGGGCCAAUACUGACGCUCAUGCACGAAAGCGUGGGGGAGCAAACAGGAUUAGAUACCCUGGUAGUCCACGCCCUAAACGAUGUCAACUAGUUGUUGGGGAUUCAUUUCCUUAGUAACGUAGCUAACGCGUGAAGUUGACCGCCUGGGGAGUACGGUCGCAAGAUUAAAACUCAA
rnacentral:rRNA from 1 species